rnacentral:lncRNA from 1 species
GUUAAAAAGUUGAAAAAAAAUAUUAUCCUAGGCCAUAAAAACAUUUAGGGUCGGGCCAAAAAUUUAGGGUAGGCCGGGAUACCAGAAACAAACAACUUUUCUUUACGCCUUAUUGAGCAUUUAUAAUAUAGAUGACUCCAAUUUUAGGAUUUAAUUAUUUUGGCAAACUUCUGGAAGUGCAACAAGUACUAAAAGUCUUGUCUUAUUUGGAGACAGAUGCCCCCUCCCCACCCAACACAUAUUAGGCUAAUACUUCUAUUUACUUAUUUCAGCAUCCAAAUGGUGAUACUCUGUUGAGCUGUUUUCUUUCUGCAGAAGUUGUUACAACAGACCCUGUUGAAAGUUCUUUCACUGAUUCAGAUAUGGUCCACAUGUCGUUUCUAUAUGUAGGACAUACGCACGAAGACAUUGAUGCCUCAUUCAGUAAGAUCUCAGAAAAACUUAGAACGACAGAUGCAGAAACAGUUCCCCAAUUACUGAAUCUAGUAAGAAACAUUGAAGAUUUAAGUACACUGAAACUAUGGGAUGUUAAGUCAUGGCUAGAAUCUUCACUAACAAAAGUAAAAGGCGUCAGUGAACCCUUACAUUUUAAAAUUACGAAAACAUCUGGAAAAAUAAAGGUUGUUUAUAAAGGGCAACAGCAUCAGUUAUGGACUGUGUUAGAUGGCAGAGGUACUUUUCUCAGAAAUCUACCAACUUCAAAAAUAAAACAGUUAAAACCAAACUAUAAAAACAUUCUAGAAAAAAUUGAGACAGUUAAAAAACAAAUCAGUGCAAUUAGUUACAUGUUUGAAAGCAGCGAAAAUCAUCUUUGGUGGAAAGCUUUUUUGGAGAAAAUAAAUACAGUGAUGCCAGUGAGAACAAAAGAGGACAUUAUAUGGAUUACCCAACUACCAAAACAGCAAAAAAAACAACAAAGAAACAUUAAAGACAACCUGGAUCCAAUACUUAGAAAGAUGUUGGAAAAGGAAACACUAAAAGUAGACCUGUGUUAUCCUGUGAAAAAAGACGAAAUUUAAAAACUAGCCGAGGGAAGCAGAAGUCGAAAAAAACAGAGCGUAUCCACGGAGGAAGAAGUGGUGUUAACCGUCAAAGCACUGUAGUACAGGUCAAUAGAAAAAAACUAAAUCAACAACACCAGCAGUGCCAAAGAGAAACAGACAAACAGGAAGGCGAAUCAUGAGAUGGAAUAGCUCAAGAUGGAUCACCAUACUCACCGAUGAUGAGAG